rnacentral:rRNA from 1 species
GAUGAACGCUGGCGGCGUGCCUAAUACAUGCGAGUCGAGCGAACAGACGAGGAGCUUGCUCCUCUGACGUUAGCGGCGGACGGGUGAGUAACACGUGGAUAACCUACCUAUAAGACUGGGAUAACUUCGGGAAACCGGAGCUAAUACCGGAUAAUAUAUUGAACCGCAUGGUUCAAUAGUGAAAGACGGUUUUGCUGUCACUUAUAGAUGGAUCCGCGCCGCAUUAGCUAGUUGGUAAGGUAACGGCUUACCAAGGCAACGAUGCGUAGCCGACCUGAGAGGGUGAUCGGCCACACUGGAACUGAGACACGGUCCAGACUCCUACGGGAGGCAGCAGUAGGGAAUCUUCCGCUAUGGGCGAAAGCCUGACGGAGCAACGCCGCGUGAGUGAUGAAGGUCUUCGGAUCGUAAAACUCUGUUAUUAGGGAAGAACAAAUGUGUAAGUAACUAUGCACGUCUUGACGGUACCUAAUCAGAAAGCCACGGCUAACUACGUG